AGAGCAGGGACGGCUGUUGCCUUUGGAGGGUGGGGGAUUAUCGGGGUCCAACCCCAGGGCCCCUGUUACCGAGGGGCCAGAGACACUGAGCUGGGAUCCAGGCUGGGCUCUGGUUCUGUUACCGACAAGAGGGGUUGGGAUCGAGGGUUCUGCUUUGGGCCUGACUCUCAAACAUCCAUAUCAGGUCUGGCCCUGUCCCUCUGUCUGUCCGUAGUGUGUUCCCUGCUGCAGGCUCUGCUGGGGAAGUGAGGGGCUGAGCUCAGUUAAUGGGUCUGAGGAUGAGCGUAGGCGCUGCCGGGCUGUUAGCAGAGCCCUGUACAGAGACUCCCAGUGCUGAUUCCCCGGGAGCAUGAGAUCCCUCCAGGCCGCCUGCAUGGGCCUCACCAGCCCAGAGGGGAUCUGGGGGGUCAGGGCUCUGCACAGUGCCUGGCACAGCCCUAUGGAGCAGGCCGGGGUGUCCCUGGUGGGAUGGGUGGGGCUGGAACCAGGUCCCAUGCUCCUCUGUGUGGAAGAGAGAGGGGGGCCCUGGUUCCCAGGUUCCUGCAUGUGAAUCCCGUUCAGUGCAUGGGGCUGGGGAGGGCAAUGGGGCAUGUUACAGACCCAGAGCCCGCCCCUCUCUGCAGGGGGCACUGUCAUCUCGGGAGUGGGGGCCAUGGGGAGAGCAGAGACCCCAUCAGCUUCUCAGGGGCGAUUCUAGCCCAGCACUGAACACACGGCACCUUUCUGUUCCCAGGGCUGAGUCCCAGCAGCCAGGAGAUCUGCUCAGCUCCCGGUGCUCUCCCUGCCCCCACCCUCUACCUGAGCCAGAUGUCUGCCCGGCCGGUGGACUCUGUGAGGCUCCAGUGCUCCAUGAUCUCCCAUCUCCUGGCCUCCCGCAUUGUCUUCUGUCAGGAUGGGGAGGAGGUUUGGUCCCAGAGGGGCUUAUCUGGGAAACUCACCUACGACUAUGACCACGCAGUAUCUGGGGCAAGCUCCAGGAAUUACUCCUGUGCAUACGAGAUCAAGGACAGUGACAACCAGGUGAUCAGGUCCCAGCUCAGCCCUCCCCAGCACCUCAUCGGCACCAGUAAGGCCAAUGUGAGUGUGAGACCAUAUCCCAGCUCAGCCCUGCCCAGCAACUCAGCACCGUGGGAAGGACUGGAAAAUGUUACAAUAUUGGCAAUUACAAUUCCUGUUUCGGUGGGUGUGAUUUUGGCUCUUGUUCUGCCCCUGGUGUAUUACCUUAAGAAGAAGAAGAAAGUUGUAAAUAAUAGGAGAAAAGAAAGGUAAGAAUGGUGUAAUUCCAUCAUACCUCUCACGUUACAGACAGAAAGAGAUUAAACCCACGUAGUAUACCAACUUGUCUCCAAGUCAGAGGGUUUGGUACCUGCAGCAGCACCCUCUAAAUGGUGAUGCUGUUGUGGGAUAUAUGGGGUACUUAAGCUGUCUACCUGGAUUAUGUUAUGGCUCCCCUCAUCACUAUCGUAUCGGAGGUAAUGAUGAUGCUUGAUAGCUAGUGACUUCAUUCAUGAAAUCAGGGUCCCUUUGUGUUGGUCACUGAACAAACAGGUAACUGAGAAGACUGUCCCUGCCCCAGACAGUUUAAGGUCUACAUAGUGUUAUUAAUCAUUAAUAGUAUGGUUGUUCUUGCUAUUGUUAUGAUUAAUCAUUGUUAUUGCAAUAGUGUUUAGAGGCCUCAAACAGGCUGGGCCCCAUUGUGCUUGGUGCUGUACAAACACUGAGUAUAUGACAGUCCCUGACUCUAAGAGUUGCAGUAUAAAGGAGUAUGAACAAAGAUAAAGAUUAGCUCCAUUAGUGAUCUGGUGGCUCUGUCCAUCUGUGAGAGUCCUUCCCCACCAAGAAAACUCCAGCUAACCUGGCGCAAAAUCCACUAACAAGUGGUAAGCUUUGCCCAUGCAGUUCUGCACUAGUUGUUAUGUGCAGGUUGUCAGGGCAGGGUUAAAAUAUCACAGUUUCCAGCAGAGGCAUGUCCCCAGGAUGAUGUGGCUAUGAACUGUCUCCCACUCCAACCCCGAUAAGCUGCUUUCUCCUAAUCCAGCGAUACUGGGUUGCAAACCACUCAUCAGAAAACAGAAUUUCUAUUGCACAGGAAAUUCCAAUAUUUCAACAUUUUUUUUCAUGCCAAAUAGGAAUGAAAAAUCAAAAUGUUGACGUUUUCUGCAAAACCAAAAUUCCCACAAAAUCGUUUUGGAAACAUCAAAAGGUUUUGCUUUCAUAACAUUGAAACAUUAUACUAUACUAUGACAUAUUAAAUGUAUGAUUUGUAAAUAUAGCAUAUAUAAUAAACCAUUACAAUUAACAUUUUAACCA
ensembl:lncRNA